UGCAUGCACAGCAUUUCAAAUUAAAUUUCAACGACCGCAUAUUUCAGUAACAGAAGAAAAUUAAAUCAGGGAAUUAUUGAUAAUAAUUAUGGGGGAACUGAGACUAAUUGUCGGUUUUUAUAGGCCUUUAGGCUACAAUAGAAAAAUCCAAAAGAACACGCAAUAUGUCUGUCGCUGGAAGUGAAAUAAUAGACGCACAUAACUUGGCUUGACAAACAGGAUAAUAUCUAUAUUUGAUCAUAAACCAGUUAGUAAAGUACUACAAUGCACCUUGCCCAGGAACCUCCUGUGAAAGGUGUGAACCAAUUCCGACCAAGCAAAGCAAAAAACGGGGCGCGGCACAGUCAAGACUAGAGAAGGUAUGGUUUCGCAACUUAACCCACAGUCAAGACUAGAGAAGGUAUGGUUUCGCAACUUAACCCACAGUCAAGACUAGAGAAGGUAUGGUUUCGCAACUUAACCCACAGUCAAGACUAGAGAAGGUAUGGUUUCGCAACUUAACCCACAGUCAAGACUAGAGAAGGUAUGGUUUCGCAACUUAACCCACAGUCAAGACUAGAGAAGGUAUGGUUUCGCAACUUAACCCACAGUCAAGACUAGAGAAGGUAUGGUUUCGCAACUUAACCCACAGCAUUGUGGGAAUUUGACGUUGCCAGUCCCUAUGUACCGGUUUUACGCAAGAAUGUAGUUAACAUAUUUUCCCUCAACUGUUGGCCUUACUCUCACAUUGCAGCUUCACGAUGGUGAGUAAAAUGUCUGCUUUUGGUUCCAUGUUUUGACAUUUUACAGGGGAAGUACAUUCUCUCUAUCGAACAUGCACCUGUCCAAAAGGUGAGUAGGCUACAGUAACGGUGUUGUCAAUGGCACACCCAGUUGAUUUGGCAGGUUGUCUCCACCUGUUUGCCCGGACACUACAGUAGCUUAAAGAAGCGUUGCUGGCUGGCACCACUGAAACCACCUCUCCCACUUGAACAGUUGUGCCGUCUGUCUUGCAUAAGAAGCUGUUUAUCGAUGGGUUGUUGCACAAUGUGUUGUUUUCAUACUAGAACGUUUCGAAAGUCAUGUGUAAGUUAUAGUUUUGCUAAAACUGUCCAUUUUUUUAGGCUGAUUUUGUGGAGAUCGUGAAAUAUCGUUUUUGUCUUGCACAACAACGUGGGUGGGUAUACUUUGUGGACGUUCCAACAGGAGUCUGUUCCAAAAACUUCGUAAAUAACAAGGUUGCCAACAAACGACACAUACAAAGUUGUAUAGUGGCAGAAUAAGAUGCAUAUAUUUUAAUACUUUUACAUUUUCAUGGCAUCCUAUUUGUGAAUAGGGUAACGACAAUUUUUUUUUUCACUCACCAGGUUUAUCGCGAAAUGUCUGCCCUCUCUGGUAGUCUAUGGACAAACAUUAAGAAUAAGCGAUGUGGAGAGUUGAUGCCUAUUCGACAGAUGUACUUCCUGCUACUGUUAAGCCGGCAGGGGAAGCUGCGACUGCAGAAGUGGUUCACUCCGGUGACAGAGCGAGAGAAGAAGGUGACCAGGGAAAUGACUCUGAUGGUGCUGGCUCGCCCUCCCCACUCCUGUAACUUCCUCCUCUGGAGGGACCUCAAGAUUGUUUACAAAAGAAGUGAUACCUCCUAGCCGUUGAGUUAGCAACAGCAGCUGCAAACGCCGGGUUGGGAAGGAACAGACAGAGUAUCCCGUCUACCACACAAAGACGUUACUACAACAUAUCCAAUUGACAACCAGAGACAUUCUUCAAAGGACUAGGUUGGGCAACACGGCCUUCCAUCUACCACCAACCUACUGAAGCGCAGCUCAGAGUAUGCCAGUCUCUACUUCUGCUGUGGUCUGGAGGACCAGGACAAUGAACUGUUGACCCUGGAGGUGUUGCAACGAUAUGUCGAGCUGCUGGACAAAUACUUUGGCAACGUGUGUGAGCUGGACAUCAUCUUUAACUUUGAGAAGAAGGCAUACUUCAUCCUGGAUGAGUUCCUGGUGGGAGGAGAGAUCCUAGAGACCUCCAAGACAGCUGUGGGCAUCGCUAUGGAGGAGGCAGAGACACUACAAGAGACAAUGGAGGAGUAUAUGAGUAAACCGACCUACUGAACCAAUAACAGGGACGUGAGUCGAAUCUUAAGACCGAAGAAUUAUUUUCUCAAUAAGUGCCACAACAUUUCAAAGAAGAUUUAUUCUUAAGAUACUCUUCCAUUCUGACAGAAUACAUGGUCUGUUUUAUAUAAGCACUUUCUAAUAUUAUUAGUCUUUUUUAAAAACUUUUUACUCCUUUUUCUCCCAAAUUGGUAGUUCCAGUCUUGUCCCAUUGCUGCAACUCCCGUAUGGACUCGGUCAAGAGCGAUGUGUCCUCUGAAACGCAACCCCUCCAAGCUGCACUGCUUCCUGACCCAGCCGCACCAAUGUGUCGGAGGAAACGGUGUACAACUGGCGACUGUGUCAGCGUGUGUGCUCCCGGCCCGCCACAAGGAGUCACUAGAGUGCGAUAGGACAAGGACAUCCCGGCUGGCCACACCCUCCCCUAACCCGGAUGACACUGGGCCAAUUUUGCGCCGCCUAUUGGGUCUCCCGGUUGUGGCUGGCUGCGACACAGCUCGGGAUUGAACCUGGGUCUUUAGUGACGCCUCAAGCACUGCGAUGCAGUACCUUAGACCGCUGCACCACUCGGAAGGCCCCUAUAAGCACUUUCUGAAAGAUGCAUUAGGAGUUUUAUCAUUUAGGAGUUCAUUUUAAAACAGAGUUUAACUUUGAGAUUUAUUUUUAAAUGUGUUAUUAGUUAAAAUUAUUUUAUAAUUACAAAUUUGAUAGGAUCACAUAUGUUUUACAGUAAUUGUAGCCUGCUUUGCUUUAUCUGAUUUUUAAGCAAAUAUGUUAUUUUAGCAUAUUGCUGCUGCAUUUUCAAAUGUUUUAAUUCAGUUGUGAGUUGAUCCAAGGAUUGUAAACCACAACUUCUUACCACUUUGAAAGUCACAUUUAUUAUUUUAAUUCUAUGUUGGUUAACAUAGCCACUGCCUGCACAAACGUGAUAGUGCCUUAUUGUAAUAUUUCUCAGUUGGCAAGAUAGAGCCAGAUGGUUCUAAGAUUGAAGCUAAAGGUUGACAUUUUGGAAAGUGAUGCCUACUCAGUGCCGUUAAAGUUGUACUGUCUGAAUAAAUAGUUUUGUUUCCAGAA